rnacentral:rRNA from 1 species
UACGUAGGUGGCAAGCGUUGUCCGGAUUUACUGGGCGUAAAGAGCGCGUAGGCGGUCGUUCAAGUCGCGUGUGAAAGCCCCCGGCUCAACUGGGGAGGGUCACGCGAUACUGAUCGACUCGAAGGCAGGAGAGGGUAGUGGAAUUCCCGGUGUAGUGGUGAAAUGCGUAGAUAUCGGGAGGAACACCAGUGGCGAAGGCGACUACCUGGCCUGUUCUUGACGCUGAGGCGCGAAAGCUAGGGGAGCAAACGGG